AGGGAUGGAAAACAGAAAUAAGGCAGCGUCAGAACCUGAUGCUAGUGAUCUUUGAAGAUUAGCCAUUUUAUGGGGAUAGGCAUUGUGACACGUUCUAUGUGGUCGAGUGCUGUGACAGCAGUCAGUGAACUCAGCACUUAGGAGGUAGAUUAGAUAUGCAGAUGAUGUGCUUACAGACCCCAUGCUGUGUUUCUCCACAUUCACAGUGGUCUUAAGCAUCCAUUCUACUAUGUGCACGAGUUGACGUCACUCCAGUGGUUUCAUUCUGUGACCUUUAGACACCAGGGGGUUGAUGUUAGCUAUAUGUGAUCCAGGACAGCAGAGAUUCAGUGGUUAAGGCCCCAUUUGUCUUAUCUGCAUCAGAUCUGAACCCACUCUGAUUGCCACCCAUGAUGAGUACAUUGGGUUCCAUUGAAUAGGGUUUUCUCUCCCUACCCAUGAAACACCAUCAUGGAGAGGAGAGGCUAUCUAUAGUUGGACAUCCCGGAGCCCAUGCACAGUCAGCACAUCCCAGGUCACAUGUAGUGCCUGCCCAUUCAAAGGAAAGCAGUCACGGUGCCGGUCCAAAGGACUGAUGUCAUAGUGUCUGUCUCAUGGCUGAUGUCACAGUGUUUGUCUACAUGGCUGAUGUAAAAGUGUCUAUCCAAGGGACAGCAGUCACAGUGCCCACUCACCUGGCAAAGCAUCUCAAAGGCACUUGCUCCCAAGGCAGACCCCAAAGUGUCCAGACACAAGGCAGAUGUCACAGAGUCUACCCUCAUGGCAAGUAUUAUUGUGGCCAACCCCACAACAUCCAGCAAGAAGGCAAGCACAGAGACCACUCACACUGCGGCCAACUUCUGGGGCUCUACUUACAUAGCAGCCCAGAACACAGUGACCAUUCGCUCUUCGGAUUUCACAAUGCCCAUAUACACAGACAACCAUGUAGGCCCUAUCCAUACAACCCAUCUCAGAGUUCCUGUCCACAUUGCUGAUAUCAUGGUGCCCAUUCAUGGAGCAGAUGUCACUGUGCCCAUCCACACAGAGGAUAUCACAGUGCCUGUCCACACAGCAGACAUCACUGUCCCCAUCCACAGAACCAAUUGUGUGGGCUCUUUGUACUUUUCAGAAAUCACAGAGUCCAUACAAGUGCCCAGUCUCCCAGUUCCUGUCCACACAUCCAAUUUCUCAAGCCCUCUGCACACAGAAGAUAUCAUAGAGACUAUCCAAGACCUUAUGGAGCCUGGCCACUCCCACUUCACAGGCCCUGUCCACACCUCAGACCUCACUGUGCCUGUGCACAUGGCAGAUAUGACCGUACCUAUUGUCAUGGCAGAUGUUAUGGUGCCCAUCUGCACAGCAGACAUUACACUGCCAGUCCAUCGGGCAGACAUCACAAUGCCCAGCAAUACAUCAAUUCACCCCAGUUUCCAGAAGCUGAUGGGCAAUCUUCUGAGUGAAUCCUUCAACAUGCUGAAACCUGUUGGUUCAGUCCAUUAACUACCACUCACCCGUUUCAUGUGAUGGCACCAUUUAAUAUGCAGUGGAGAAACAGGCUACCAAGACGAAGCUAAGAGACCAGGCCAACAUGAACCAUGGAAAAGCUUUUCUUCUAUAUCCUCUGAAGAAUCUGGAGGCAACUGAGGAAAACAUGGAGACCAGUCCCAUUAAAUCUUCCACUUGGAUACCCUAGGACCCAGUCCUUAAGCUGGUCAGGUGAAAAGGUUGUCAACCUGAAGGGGCAGCACUCAUUCCUUAUGCUUGAAAGUAAUCACUUGAAUGAAUGACUUGAAAACAAUUUGUAAGACCAAAAGAUAAGAGAACAUAAUAAAAACGAAAACAAGAAA